rnacentral:lncRNA from 1 species
CGCCAAUGAGGAGCGUGCGCGCGGCUGGGGGUGCGUGUGUCUGUGAGUGUGCCUGUGCGCGCGCUUGUGGGGCGGCUCCGCUCUCCCUCCCGCUUCAGCGCUCAGGUGUGGGCACCCGGCCUCCAGCGGUGAGGGAGGGGUUCCUGCGACCUGGGGUUCCUGCGACCUGGAGUUCCUGGAGGCGAUUGGGCGAGUGUGCCUGGCGGGGGAGACUACCCCUGGAUAUUCCUAGGGAGGCACCUGAGAGGGUUGGGUCCAGCGGGGAGCAGGGAAGUUACUCAGGCCUGUGGCCUUCCUAAACUGCAUGCGGCUUGAGUUUGCUUGUAAUGAAAAUCGUGCUUCUUAGGAAAGCAUAGUUCUUCCAUCCCUGCAGAGGUUCUGAAUGGCAGAAGCCGCCCAGGACAUACUUUGCAGGGACUUCUUUCCGGAGCCAAGUGCUGUGCCCCUUCCUGUGAUUUCCUUCCAAAGACUACCUUUUGUCUUCUCGCCUUCUUUUUAUGAGUAAAACACAGGGUGGAAAUUGUAUGCUCCGUUUUUGAUGACUCUUGCUUGCUAAAUGGCCUCUGACUUUCACUUUUCUUUUGUCUUACUUUACCUGGCUAAUGGCUCUUGGGGAAGGGCAGUGGCGUCCCCAUUCACCCUCCUGGGGUGGCUGUGUUUGGUGCUCUGUGCGGGGCUCUUGCCUACACUUGCGCCCCUGAGACGCCAGCUGAGCUCAGCCCCAUUAUUCUGGACUCCGACAAUCAACAGGAACAACUAGGAGGGCGUGUUCCCGAGGGCCUGGGCCAAGAGCAUCACAAAUUUACCGCCAUUUCUCUCCAGUCCUCCUUUAGGACUUUUACUGUGGCUUCCGUGGCACCUGUGUUGAACAGUCCGGAAAAGGAGGCGGCCCUUGACCCGCGGCAGGGCCCUAGGGGCCUGAAGCCUGUGGGGUGUCAGCACUCCCUGGAAAAGGGGCCCUGGUCUUCAGGAACAGUACACUUCCAAUCCGCUGCCUACCAUGCUGAAGUUUCCUCCUUUUUCCUGCCUUUGUUGGAAAUAGUGACGGGGCCUCGAGUACGUGGGAGCUCAUCUUUGAUGUUUAUUUUAUUGCUUUCCACCAUUUGUGUAGAAGACGUACACAGUCCCCUGUCUUUAUUCAAAGAGUUUUAAAGGCAUUGAGAAUGGGGUGGGCAAAAUGACAGAGCCUUGGAGGGCUCUGUUAGUUUGUGCUUGGGAGAAUGAUGGGGUUUGGAGAUUGGAUGCAUGUUUAUUGAGGUGGG